rnacentral:lncRNA from 1 species
UGCCUUCAAUGUAGGCCCUUUUUCAGACUUAAUGACCCACAAAAAAGCCUAGUUAUUCUAUUUAUAGUGGACUAAAAGUCGGGGUCAAAAUUGGACAAAAAUGCCCUUACAAACAACUUCUGUGACCGCAUAAUGGUCGCAGACCAUGUAUGCGGUCCGCAUAAUCUUCAUUUGCAUCGCAGAGUUGUAGAUCAUCAGUCCCAGAGGUCCACCAUAUAUGAAUUAUGUGAUUCACAUAUCUGUUAUGCGAUCGCAUUUUCCUAUCGCAGAAGUGUUGAACAGUUUCUUCAAUUGCAAUUGUGCGGUCAUUAUGCGGCUCGCAAAAGUUUUAUGCGACUGCAUAAUGGACUGCAUAUUCUUCUCUUCAUUUUUCCAACAACUCUGCUUAAGUUUGAGGUGAUUAUGCAGUCCGCAUUUGACUUCUGCGGUUGCAUACUUGCAACAUUUCUAUCAUUUUGUGACUUUUUGACUUCUUUUUCAUGUUUUUGGGUCUUCAAAUAUCAUGCACUGCAAAACAACAAAACUUGAUAAGAAUUAACUAAAAAAUCCAUUAAAAGACAAGUUAAAAUCUAAGCAAUUGGUAUCAAAAGUGACAAAAUUCUACGGCACAUAAUUGCCAAGGAUUGAGUGGAGAGGUUCUCUAGAUUACGUUCCCAGUAGAGCAAUUUUAUAUUGAAGGCCCAACUGAUGAUUGGGAAGGCCCAACUGAUCCCCUGUUAACUACAUUCCCCUUGUCUGUUUUUGCUAUUGUGAGUUGACGGGAGGAUUUAUUUGGAGUUUCAGAGAGUUUUAGGACACUUAGUCCCUAAAUGAGAGUUUAAGUUUUAGAAUUUGGACUGUAGUCGGAGCAGUAUGAAGACAUACUGGGAAUGGAAUUCCGUUGGUUCCGUUAGCUCCAUUGAGUGAUUUCAGGUUUAUGAGGGUGUUCGAAUGGUGUUUUUGAGGUCCGUAGCUUAUUUAUGAUUGAAAUGCCGAAGAGUUGAAUUUUUGAAGUUUCCGGUUUGAUAGUGAGAUUUUGAUAUCGGGGUCGUAAUGGAAUUCCGGAAGUUGGAGUAGCUCCAUAGUGUUGAAUGUGACGUGCUUGCAAAAUUUCAGGUCAUUCGGACAAGGUUUGAUAGACUUUUUGAUCGAAAGCGUAAUUUGAGAGUUUUUGGAGUUCUUAGGCUUGAAUCCGAUGUUAAAUUGGUGUUUUGAUGUUGUUUUGAGCACUCCUAAGAUUGUAACAAGUUUGAAUGAUAUUUUAGGAUUGGUUGGCAUGUUUGGUUGAGGUACCGGGGGCCUCGGGUGUGUUUCGGAUGCUCAACGGGUCAUUUUUGGAACUUAGAGAAUUGCAGCAGUCAGUUUUGGUUCCUUCUUCGCGUUCGCGAAGAGGAGCUGGGGUUGGUGAAGGUUUAAUGCUUUGCGUUCGCGAGGCUGUGGGGUCUUAUACCUGUCACACCUCCUUUUUUUACACCCGAGGGCAUAUGAGAGUUUUUUCAAUUAAAGUGACAUUAAUCAAAAUGGGAUUAAUUAAUUUAUCAGAGUCGCCACUUGGGAUAGUUUAUUUGGUGUCCCAAGUCACCGAUUUAUUUUAAAAUCCCAAAUCGAGGAAAUUUCGAUUUUUAUUUUUUAAAAGUCUGCGAACCAGAAAUUCUAAGUAAAGAAUUCUGUUAACCCGGGAGAAGGUGUUAGGCAUUUCCGGGUUCCGUGGUUCUAGCACGGUCGCUUAAUGAUUUAUACUUUAAUUUGUCUAAUUACUUAUUUUUAAAACCUAUGUGCAUUUGCCUCUUUUAAUUAAGAAAUUAUAUUUAAAUAGGUCACGCGCACGUGUACCCAUUUGAGUUGGCGCGUCAAAAAACCAUGUCACGCGAACGUGUCCACAAUUAAUAACGCUUUAUUAUCAUUAAGAAAGUUUGGCCGAAGUUGCACGAACGCAUAUCUCAAAUUAUUUUUUAAAAAUCGUAAUUAUGUCACGCGAACGUGCACACAAUCACGAUGAAAGAUUAGGAGCUUGAGUAACGAAAAGAGUUAUUCUAACAAAGUCACAUUAAAGUUAACGUCAAAACAAAUAUUAACCUAUGAUAAAUUCUCUAUGAAAACUUGCAAUCAUCAAUUUAGUAUUUUGUUCAUUUACGACUAACAUACUACAUAUCUCGAAUUAACUUUUAAAACACUUCACUGUCAAUCAAACAAAAUGCCUAUUAUUUCAGAAGUUCAAAAGAAACAGUUCUACGUAAGCAUUCAAAAUCCAUUUAACUAUUUCGAAUUGUAUAGAUUGAUAAUAAAUUUUCUUUAACAAACUAACUUCAACCAUUGUCCUAGUAUUUUUUCACUAAGAUUAAUAUAAUACAAAGUCAAAUAAACAUCUUUUACAAAGAGAUAUUACCUUCUUUUAUGAAGUCAAAUUAACAUCUUAAGCUUCAUGACACUUUAGUAUAAAAAGGACAAGUUUUAUACCGAUGAAUAGUAUUUUAAUUGGAACAGAUAAAGAUUAAAAGGAGCAAUUUUGCAGUCUUAUACAUAGUAAGAGCAGAAAUUUGCUGCACGCCUAAUAAUAGCUUCCAGACUUGAAUAUAACAACAACAACUACCCAGUAAAAUCUCAUAAAGUGGGGUCUCGGGAGGGUAAUGUUUAUGCAGACCUUACCCCUACCCCGAUAGGGCAGAGAGGCUAUUUUGGACAGACCCUCGGCUCAGAAAGAUGACAAUAAAAAUAAAAAAAGAUAAUUCAUUAGUAACUCCAAUAGAAACCGUAAUAGUAACAGAAGCAUAGCAACCAAAAGAUAAAUGACAUGCAAUAAUAGUAACCAACAUCCAAGGCCCGAGGCUAAGAAAAAGAGUAAGGAUAGUGUGAACUCAAUAUAAACUGCAAGCCAUCUAAGAUCAACCCUAAUCCAACCCCGCCUCACCCCGGCUAUGAAGUAAGGAAAGCUCUACUACCCCCUAACCUACAAACCUAAUGGUUGACCUCCAAACCUUCUUAUCAAGGACCAUGUCCUCGGAAAUCAGCAGUCGUACCAUGUCCUGCCUAAUCACAUCUCCCCAAUACUUCUUAGGCCUCUCUUUACCUCUUCUCGUACCCACCACGGCCAAUCACUCACACCUCCUCACCGGAGCAUCAAGGCUUCUCCUCCGCACGUGCCCGAAACAUUUGAGCCUCGCUUCCUGCAUGUUGUCAUCCACAGGUGCCCCACCCACCUUUUUCCGAAUAUCUUCAUUCCUAAUCUUGUCUAUCCUAGUGUGUUCGCACAUCCACCUUAGCAUCCUCAUCUCUGCUACCUUCAUCCUCUGGAUAUGAGAGUUCUUAACCGGCCAACACUCUACCUCAUACAACGUGGCCGAUCUAACCACAUCUCUAUAAAACUUACCUUUUAGUAUCGAUUUCACUUUCUUGUUACACAAGACUCCAGAUGCAAGCCUCCAUUUCCUCCAGCCCGCUCCUAUACGGUGAGUGACUUCCUCAUCGAUUUCUCUGUCCCCCUGAAUCAUUGACCCAAGGUACUUGAAGCUACCUCUCUUGGAUAUGACCUGUGAUCUAAGCAUCAUGCCUCUGCCUAUUUCCCUUGACUCAGCGCUAAAAUUGCACUCCAGGUACUCUAUCUUAGACCUGCUCAAUUUGAAACCCUUAGACUUGAGGGUCUGUCUCCAAACCUCUAACCUUUCGUUAACACUGACCCUCGUCUCAUCAAUUAGGACUAUGUCAUCAGCAAAUAACUUACACCAUGGCACAUCCCCUUGAAUAUGGUGCUCCCAGCCUUGAAUAUCCAACGGUAAUAGCAAAUUCACAUAAUUACUGGCAUAAGCACAAUUUCUUUAAAAAGGGUGACAUAUGACUCCUUUAAAUUAAGUAGUAAGUCUUUAUUAUUUCAAGUCUUCUCCUUUCAGAGAGUUCAAAUACAGAUUAUCAAAGGGGAAAGAAGACAAGGUCAUCCUUUGAAAUUUCAAAAUGCAACAAUCAGCCAUGAAUGUUAUUUCAACAAACAAAUGACCUAACCAGUCAUUGUAGUAUCAUACACAUGAUGCAAUGUCUAAAAAUGAUGUAGAAAACACUGAAAGAAGUAGAUGUAAUAGUUAUAUUCGAAUGACUUACAAAAGUUUGGCUCAGUUGGAAACGAACAGAUCCGGAAACGAACAAAGAACGACGAGCAAAAUCUCAAUUUGAAUCGACAGACUUGAACGACAGAUGACGAACUAACCAGUUUCCAGAGAGGCUCGCCGGCGACAAAGGUGAGACAGAAAAGACGAAGGAGCGAGAGGGAUUUGUAGGGGUGAGGUUGUAUCCCUAGUUUCGUAUUCUUCUUAUCCGUUUUCCGCUAGGUCAUGUCCGUGGUUGCUACUCAAGGAAGAUGAAGAUGUUUCACCCUUUUCAUGGAAAACGACUGUCUCUUUUGUGUGUAGUCUCUAGGGUUAAGUUUGUUGCUUGAAAAUUGGAGAAGAAUAAGAUGGGGUUGUCUCUCGUUUGGGCUCAAGAAGAAGAUCGGGGGGGGGGGGGUUCUCUGUUCUCCUUAGUUCAGUGGUUGUGGCUUCAACUUUUUGUUUGUUGUGUAUCGAGGAAGAAGAAACCACGCUGAGCGGGGGUCUCCCUUCUAAAAAUGGCAGAUUUAGUCUUAGGGAUCUA